rnacentral:tRNA from 1 species
GGGGUGUGGCUCAGUUGGCUAGAGCAUCUGCCUUGCAAGCAGAGGGUCAGCGGUUCGAAUCCGCUCAUCUCC